GACGAACGCUGGCGGCGUGCUUAACACAUGCAAGUCGAACGGAAAGGCCCUGCUUUUGUGGGGUGCUCGAGUGGCGAACGGGUGAGUAGCACGUGAGUAACCUGCCCUUGACUUUGGGAUAACUUCAGGAAACUGGGGCUAAUACCGGAUAGGAGCUCCUGCUGCAUGGUGGGGGUUGGAAAGUUUCGGCGGUUGGGGAUGGACUCGCGGCUUAUCAGCUUGUUGGUGGGGUAGUGGCUUACCAAGGCUUUGACGGGUAGCCGGCCUGAGAGGGUGACCGGCCACAUUGGGACUGAGAUACGGCCCAGACGCCUACGGGAGGCAGCAGUGGGGAAUAUUGCACAAUGGGCGGAAGCCUGAUGCAGCAACGCCGCGUGCGGGAUGACGGCCUUCGGGUUGUAAACCGCUUUCGCCUGUGACGAAGCGUGAGUGACGGUAAUGGGUAAAGAAGCACCGGCUAACUACGUG
rnacentral:rRNA from 1 species